rnacentral:rRNA from 1 species
GAUGAACGCUGGCGGCGUGCUUAACACAUGCAAGUCGAACGAGGAAGCCCGGCUUGCUGGGUGGAUUAGUGGCGAUCGGGUGUGUAACACGUCAGUAACCUUCGCUUAACCCUGGGAUAAGCUUGGCAAAUUGGGUCUAAUUCCGGAUAGGAGCGUGUACCGCAUGGUGGGUGUUGGACCGCGUGGUCGGUGUUGGAUGGACUCGCGGCCUAUCAGCUUGUUGGUGAGGUGAGGGUGCACCAAGGCGACGACGGGUAGCAGGCCUGGGAGGGUGACCGGCCACGCUACACCUGGAAUGAGGCACAGACCCCAAUGGGAGGCAGCAGAGGGGUGUAUAGCAUAGUGCGCGCAAGCCUGAUGCAGCGCAGCCGCGCGAGGGGUGACAGCCCGCGGGUUGUAAUGCUAUUUCCGUAGCGAAGAAGCGAAAGUGACGGUACCGGAAGAAGAAGCCCCGGCUAACUACGUG